UCCUCUCUCUUUCUCACCUGUCUCUCUCACAGAGAAAAAUAUGGUCCCUAUCUCCUCUCUCUUUCUCACCCUGUCUCUCUCACAGAGAAAAAUAUGGCCUUUUUGCUUGGCAGCCUAUACUCCUCACAGCUCUCAUGUGUCUUUGGUGUCGGAGAAAAGCUCUCUGCUGCCCUCUGCUGCUGCCUCAGGAUAUUACAAGCUGCACACUCAGAUGUUGCCAUGCUUGUUCUCCUGCUCCAUGAAGCAGCUGUUCUCCUCCGUCACAUUUAUAACAAACCUGUCCAUUCACAAGGGUGCAGUUUUCAAAUGCCACAUCUCAUUUAAGGGCAAAGACAAGCUUGUGGCCAAGAGAGUUUCCGACAAGUUUAUUAUUCAAGCUAUGAGAACCUGAUUAAUAAAAA
rnacentral:lncRNA from 1 species